rnacentral:rRNA from 1 species
GAGGAACCCUAACAAGGUUUAAAUGUAUUAAGAAUAAGCUAGAAGUAGCUUUGUCUAUAUGACGAAAUACAAGGUGCUGCAUGGUCGUCGUCAGUUCGUGCUGUGAAGUGUUUGGUUAAGUCGUAUAACGACCGCAACCCCUAUUGUUAGUUGCCAUCAGGUAAAGCUGGGGACUCUAACAAAACGGCCGGUCUAAACUGUGAGGAAGGUGGGGAUGAUGUCAAAUCAUCAUGGCCUCUAUGCCUUGGGCUACACACGUGCUACAAUGGCUGGUACAAAGGGCAGCCACUGGGUGACCAGGAGCUAAUCUCUAAAACCAGUCUCAGUUCGGAUUGGAGUAUGCAAUUCGCCUCUCCGAAGUUGGAAUCGAUAGUAAUCGCGCAUCAGCAAUGGCGCGGUGAAUAUGUUCUCGGUCUUUGCACACACCUCCCGUCAAGCCAUGGGAGUGGGAAGUACGUAAAGUCAGUAACCAUUAAUGAUGGGCCUAAGGUAAAAUUGAUG